rnacentral:rRNA from 1 species
AUUGAACGCUGGCGGCAGGCUUAACACAUGCAAGUCGAACGAUGAAGAUAUAGCUUGCUAUAUCGGAUUAGUGGCGGACGGGUGAGUAACACUUAGGAAUCUACCUUUUAGCGGGGGAUAGCUCGGGGAAACUCGAAUUAAUACCGCAUAAUUUCUACGGAAUAAAGAGGGCUUUUAGCUCUCACUAGAAGAUGAGCCUAAGUAAGAUUAGCUAGUUGGUGGGGUAAAAGCCUACCAAGGCGACGAUCUUUAGCUGGUCUGAGAGGAUGAUCAGCCACACUGGGACUGAGACACGGCCCAGACUCCUACGGGAGGCAGCAGUGGGGAAUAUUGGACAAUGGGGGCAACCCUGAUCCAGCCAUGCCGCGUGUGUGAAGAAGGCCUUUUGGUUGUAAAGCACUUUAAGCAGUGAAGAAGACCUAUUGGUUAACACCCAAUAGCGAUGACAUUAACUGCAGAAUAAGCACCGGCUAACUCUGUGCCAGCAGCCGCGGUAAUACAGAGGGUGCAAGCGUUAAUCGGAAUUACUGGGCGUAAAGCGAGCGUAGGUGGUUAAAUAAGUCAGAUGUGAAAGCCCUGGGCUCAACCUAGGAACGGCAUCUGAAACUAUUUAACUAGAGUAGGUGAGAGGGAAGUAGAAUUUCGGUGUAGCGGUGAAAUGCGUAGAGAUCUGAAGGAAUACCGAUGGCGAAGGCAGCUUCCUGGCAUCAUACUGACACUGAGGCUCGAAAGCGUGGGUAGCAAACAGG